rnacentral:rRNA from 1 species
AGGAUCAUUACCGAGUGUAGGGUUCCUAGCGAGCCCAACCUCCCACCCGUGUUUACUGUACCUUAGUUGCUUCGGCGGGCCCGCCAUUCAUGGCCGCCGGGGGCUCUCAGCCCCGGGCCCGCGCCCGCCGGAGACACCACGAACUCUGUCUGAUCUAGUGAAGUCUGAGUUGAUUGUAUCGCAAUCAGUUAAAACUUUCAACAAUGGAUCUCUUGGUUCCGGCAUCGAUGAAGAACGCAGCGAAAUGCGAUAACUAGUGUGAAUUGCAGAAUUCCGUGAAUCAUCGAGUCUUUGAACGCACAUUGCGCCCCCUGGUAUUCCGGGGGGCAUGCCUGUCCGAGCGUCAUUGCUGCCCAUCAAGCACGGCUUGUGUGUUGGGUCGUCGUCCCCUCUCCGGGGGGGACGGGCCCCAAAGGCAGCGGCGGCACCGCGUCCGAUCCUCGAGCGUAUGGGGCUUUGUCACCCGCUCUGUAGGCCCGGCCGGCGCUUGCCGAACGCAAAUCAAUCUUUUUCCAGGUUGACCUCGGAUCAGGUAGGGAUACCCGCUGAACUUAA